GGAACGCUGCUGGUUUUGCACCUGCACCAUACAGCGACCCGCCCGGGACAGGCGAUCAGAGUGAGGGCAACGCUUCUGCUUUGGGGGUAACCAGAUGGUCAUUUACAGCCAUUGAAUAGGUGCAAGAACCUGAGUUCCUGGAGACAGCGAGUGACACCAGAACCACCCGGGGCGCUGAGACCCUGUCCCCAGGCACUGGGCCAGCCCUCAAGAUCCGUGCGAUUCCUACUGCUGAUUCUCCCGGCAUUCACAUGAAAAAUGAGAAGAAAAAAGCCACACAAAACAAAAACCAAACCACAAACCGAAGGGGAAAAAAGAAAAGAAAAAUGUAAGAAAGCCAAUCAGCCCAGGAAAGCAAACAGAUAUUCCACCCCCGCCCUCCCCUAGUAAAAUUCUCUGUUGAAUUAUCAAAAAUAUGGAGACAUUUACAAAGAGAUGGAAACAAAAUAAUCAGAGGUGCAUGGAGAUGUUUUUGACUAUGUGCAGCGGAGUUUUGCUUUCUACCAAAGAUAUAAACCUGUGGCACUCGGGGGGAUUAGGAAGAGAAAUGCUGACGGAUUUAACUCUUUGCAGCACAAGCGGUUCCACCGCACCGCGAUAAGGCCGAAACCUGAUGCCGGCGUGACUUUCACACACCAGAACGUAAAUCCUGCCGCUACCACAUACUUUAAAACCAACAGUUAAAGGGGCAGUUUUAAUUUCCAUGGCAUAUCUGUGAAAAAAGCCUCACUCGGGAAGAGGCUCUUGGUUUAUUUAUAGGCAAAACAGCUGCUUUGUGCAUUCCACGAUCGAGGCUGAGGUCUGCUCCCAGUCCUGCAUGUUCGAGUUACCUCUUGUCGAAGUAAAACACGCAAGGCUGCUGGCUUCUAUAAAGGGACUCCAGAGCUGGCAAGCAGCAGGCACAAGUCUGGUUGCAAUAUCCCUACUUUGCUAUCUCUUUCUUCAGACACUUAUUCCAACGCUUGCAAGCCAAGCAAGACGUUUUCCUUAGGAUUAUCUGUUCCAUCUUAAGCAGCAGCUGUGAAGACCAUUCUCCUAUUCUCCUGCAGAUCCUGCUCUGCUUCAUGGGAUACUUGUGCUGUGAACUUGAGUCAUCAUUUUGUUGGCAACUAGAAAAGCUCUCAUAAUCGGCAAUUCUACUCAGCUAUGGACAGAAAUGAGCCCAAGAACUUACAAGUCCAGUUUCACAAAAACUCACAAUCAUCACUGCAAAUUCAUCAAUAACAAAUAUAGAAUAUGAAUUUAACUUGCAUGCUAUUGAA